rnacentral:rRNA from 1 species
UACGGAGGGGGCUAGCGUUGUUCGGAAUUACUGGGCGUAAAGCGCGCGUAGGCGGCUUUGUAAGUUAGAGGUGAAAGCCCGGAGCUCAACUCCAGAAUUGCCUUUAAGACUGCCGAGCUAGCAGGUGAGAGAGGUGAGUGGAAUUCCGAGUGUAGAGGUGAAAUUCGUAGAUAUUCGGAAGAACACCAGUGGCGAAGGCGGCUCACUGGCUCAUACUGGACGCUGAGGUGCGAAAGCGUGGGGAGCGAACAGG